rnacentral:tRNA from 1 species
GCUCUCGUAGCAUAACGGAUAAUGCAACUGACUUCUAAUCAGUAGAUUGCAGGUUCGAAUCCUGCCGAGAGCG